UCGAGAAUUUUUCUCAAUGGGCGAAAGCCUGAAGGAGCGACGCCGCGUGGAGGAUGAAGGUUUUCGGAUUGUAAACUCCUGUCAUUGGGGAACAAUUGUACGGGGAAUAACUGCCCCGUGCUUGAUAGUACCCGAAGAGGAAGGGACGGCUAACUCUGUGCCAGCAGCCGCGGUAAUACAGAGGUCCCAAGCGUUGUUCGGAUUCAUUGGGCGUAAAGGGUGCGUAGGCGGUGAUGUAAGUUGGAUGUGAAAUCCCAGGGCUUAACCCUGGAACUGCAUUCAAUACUGCGUUGCUAGAGUACUGGAGAGGAGAUUGGAAUUCACGGUGUAGCAGUGAAAUGCGUAGAUAUCGUGAGGAAGACCAGUGGCGAAGGCGAAUCUCUGGACAGUUACUGACGCUGAGGCACGAAGGCCAGGGGAGCAAACGG
rnacentral:rRNA from 1 species